UUUUUGUGAUGACAAGAAAUACACUUGGUCUGUGUUUCUGAAAUAACAUUGUGAUGAUAAUUUUUGCUUUUCUGAAAAA
rfam:Plasmodium fragile strain nilgiri unplaced genomic scaffold supercont1.4, whole genome shotgun sequence.